UGAGUUUUAGAACGAUCCUUAAUGCAUUAUUGAUUGACUGAUGUAUUCAUUUCCAUGAAUCCUUGAAACUAUUCUCAUUGCCUAAUGUUUUACAACUCUCGUUUACAUUGAGUUCACGAUAAACUUUUCUUUUUUUUUUUGCUUUGUAGCUUAAUUUGAACCAUCUUUUAUUGUUUGGACAAAAAGUUUUGAACCAUAAAGUAAUCUGUUGGUUUUUGGGGAUUUGAUACCCAACCACAACUUCCUAUCUUCAUGUUGGAGCCCUAC